GGGCAGGGGAGGGUGCGGGGGAUGAUGGCAGAGGGAAAGACGGGGAGACAGGAAAGAAAAAAAAUACAAAGUCUUCCGAGACAGACAUUUGGUAUAACUGAAAUGCACAAAGCCAACACGCACACAGACGGAGCCUACGUAUGUAGGUAUACACUUGUAUAAGGAGAUUUCAUUUCUUGUCUGGGAUCAAACUUCCCAGCAAGUAAUGCCUUGAGGCUGAUGGGCAUGGAGAGAAAGCUACGGAACCCGGUUUCUGGGGUUCUAGGCCUGAAUUCUCUCCUGUUCUUUUGCAGGCAAGCAUUAGUAUUUCUGAGAGCUGCAGAGUUUAGAUACAUGGUUUGUAGUUCUUCAAACCCUCUCCUUUUUUAAGGCACAGUUUCCCCACUUGGAGUAGCGCAAGGAUUUCCCAUUCCCCUCCUCCCUUUCUUCACGGGAAGACCAGGAUUCAAUGCCAAAUGUAACGGAAUUGACUCAUGUCCCCCAAUCCAGUCUCACAAGCUUGAAUUAUUAGCUCAUCUGGAGAUCAGUUUUGUUUUUUUUUUCCCUUCCUUCCUUCACACAAAAGCAUUCAAAAUUUGGGAAACGUAUCUUUCCCAUAGUAAGUCGGCUUACUAUGAGCCACGAUAAUGAUAUGGUCCUUAUUCUAUUAUUACCUCCUAACAUGGUGUUCCCUUAAGAGUGUCAUUUUAGGAGGCAGCCGCGUACAAGGGGCCCAGGCCCACAGCACAUAACCAGAACCCCCCACUUCAACGGAAAGGACGCCGCCUCAACACAAUCCCACUUUGAGACCUGCCUGCCACAGAAGAUAAGCAGCUGAAAAGAAGGCAGGCCUUUCGUUUCCUGCACUUAAUACUAACCACGGGAUCUUUUCGGCUUACAACUUGUGCGGCCAGGAUCUCUACAAGCCCUGACGUCAGCUUCACAAACAGGGAGAGCCUGGCCUGCCUUCACCUUCGCAGUCUGAGUCCUGGUGCACCGAACUCCAGGCCACCCUGAGAAUGGCUGAGUGCCCCUGCGGCUAUUUCUACCGCAGCACUUACGUGACAUCCAGGACACUUGAUUUUUCCCUGCCAACCUCUGUAAGAGACCAUGUAAUAAGCACCAUGUCUUUCGAAUUGCCUGGC